UAAUGACAUUGAAUUAUCACAACAGUCAUAUGAGCGAUAUAAUGCUAGUAUUUCCAUUUUACAGAUGGAGAAAUCAAGCCUUUGAAAUUUUAAGAAAUUUGCUCACAGUCAACCUAGAUGUUAAGUGGCAAGUUGGAUGGUUGAACCUCUGAAGUUUCCUGAGCUCAUGCUCAAUAGCAGAAGAUACAAGGAACAAGUGAAGAGCAGGAAGGCCAGACCACAAGUCGUAAAGGAGCAGAGUGGAAUCAAGGAAGGCACAGCAGCAAAGGAGGCUUUACAGGUGCCAGAUCUCAGGGGAGCUCAAUGGUGGAACACAGGGGCGUCAGUGAGGACAGUUCCAUGAUUUCUCUAUGUUCCCAGGAUAACAACUCUGGCUUGUGUCAAGAACUUGAAGAGUUGAUGCAGUGUUCCUGUUGUGGCCAGUUUUCCAGUAGACCUCAAGCUCCUCAAGGCCACUCCAUGCUCUUAUCUGCUUCUGCCAUUUUGUUCUAUAUGAGGCCAUGCCCUACAAGAGAAUGAAGGUUCAGUAUGGAAAAAAAGCUGGAUCCCUGAAUUGCUGCGUGGAGGAGAGCUGACCAACAUAUACCCUAGACACCUACUUGGAAU
rnacentral:lncRNA from 9 species